GAGGGCAGAGCUCAGGGGCAGAGUGCAUGCCUGACGUGCACGAGGCCCUGGGUUCAAUCCCCGGUACCUCCA
rnacentral:tRNA from 1 species